rnacentral:misc_RNA from 1 species
AACGCACAUUGCGCUCUCUGGUAUUCCGGAGAGCAUGCUUGUUUGAGUAUCAGUAAAACACCCUCAGUUCUCUUUUUGAGAACUGGACUUGAGUUAUCCCAACGGCGGUUUCAAAACUACUGGCGGGUCGCUUGAAAUGCAGGUGCGGCUGGACACAUCUUCUGAGCUAUAAGCAUUACUUAUUUAAUCCCGUCAGACGGAUUAUUUCUACUGCUACAGCUAAUAUAAAGGUCGAUUGUCCGUUUGCCCGACUGAUGCAGAAAAAACAGAGAGAAAUCUUUGUUCACUCGAUCUCAAAUCAAGUAAGACUACCCGCUGAACUUAA